CAACAACAAACAUAUUCUCUGAUCAAAUAAUCAUCGGUUCACAACAACAACAUUGUCAAUGUUUUUUUUUUCCUCAAUAUGUCAUUGGCCGUUGUUAUCGUUAAAUUUCGGAAAAAACAAAAAAAAUCAAUCGGGAAAAAUAAUCGAGCAACCAACAACGAAAAAUGGGAAAAAAACAGAACAUUUUUUUUCUGAAAAUCAAUCUAAUUAAAAAAAAAAAAAAAUAACAACAAAGGGGUCACACAAUGAUGUUGUGUUGUUAUAUGAUGCGAAACGAAACUGAUAAACAAUUCAAUAAAAAAAAAAAAUAAUGAAUAAUUGGUAAACAAAAAAAAAAUAUUCAUUACAUAUAUAUUCGAUCGAUUAUUAUUGAUACCGUGAGAAUUAUUAUCGGAUCAAUCAAUCAAUCAAACAAAACAAUCUGUGUCAGGCUUAUUAUCGUCGUUCAAAUGUACAUGGAAUGACUGUGGCAAACAACAAUGCUUAUCGGAAACUUGGUAAUCGAACCAGAUGAAAAGAAAAAUUGUUAUCGAAAAAAAUAAACAAAAAAAAAAUUAUGCAAUAUUGUCAACGAAGGAUUAUACGAGAUCCAUUUGUGUGCAUUUUAUUUUUUAAUUAUGAUGAAAUUUUUCUUCUUUUUUUCCAUUCAAUGGCCAUAUAUAAAUACAUCGAAUUGA